UUUCUACUCCCUCCGUCCGAAAAUACUUGUCAUCAAAAUGGAUAAAAAUAGAUGUAUCUAAAACUAAAAUACGUCUCGAUACAUUUCCUUUUAUCCAUUUUGAUGAGAAGUAUUACCGGACGGAGGGAGUAUUUG
rnacentral:pre_miRNA from 1 species